rnacentral:lncRNA from 1 species
UUUUCCCAUGUUUCACGUGAUAUAAAUUAUUUUGAAAUACAUCUUGAAAAAUCAUGAUAUGAAAUGCUUUGACUUUUGCUAUGUUUGGAAUAUGAUUUUGAACACGAAAGAGAGGGUUGUGAAUGUUGAAUAUGCAUGUAAUGAAAGAAUGCAUGGUUUUGCCAAAAUGCACAUGACCACCAUAUGUUUGAUGAAAGUUUUGCAUGGAUUUGACUUG